GGUGAUCUCAAGGGCUUCAGGAGGCAUUGUGGCAGAGAAGACCCCAACUUGAAUCUUGGAUGGUAGCAGCUGGAAAAUGUCAUAAAUCUGAUCCUUAAAUCCACGAGAAAGCAUUUCAUCAGCCUCAUCCAACACAAACAUCCGAAUGUAGUCAGGACGAAGUGACUGUCUACGUAACAUAUCAAACACACGACCAGGCGUACCAACAACUACAUGAACACCAGGUUG
rnacentral:misc_RNA from 1 species